AAUAACAUAUUCUCCAGGGAUAAAUGUCAUCCCAAUGGCUGAUAGAAAUUUACAAGGCAAUGUACAUACAUCAAUCAACAAUAGCAUGCAUUCUCCAAACUAAAUUCCGAAUACAGAUAUGGAAAAUUUUAGCAGCACUUGUUGGGCACAUGGAUAAACGUUCUUCUUGAAGGAUUACCCUUGAGUUGCACCAUCUUAUGCAAUUCAAAGGAUUUCUUUGCUAGUCAAACAAGAAAGCAUAAUACUUCAAGGAAUUUCGCUCUCCUCCUCAUAUAUCCAAGCAUAAAGAAGGAUAAGACAACAAGAAGAGUCUUACUACACAUUAAUAAAUAAGAGCAGGCAUUUUUCAUGAAAUUCAGAAUGUUUCACUUAUAAUUAUAUCCAUAAGAGCAAUUACGCAGACAUGAUUACUAAAGAACAGCAUGCAUAAAUGAUUUCGAAAACCA
rnacentral:misc_RNA from 1 species